GCGCCCGUAGCUCAGUGGAUAGAGCACCCGCCUCCUAAGCGGGGGGUCCCGCGUUCGAAUCGCGGCGGGCGCGCCA
rnacentral:tRNA from 1 species